AGAGAAAUCAGGGCUAAUGAACCAUCUAAGUACAGGCCAUGAGGGUUCGAUUUUGUGUAAGAGACAUGGCCAGAUCUAUUAGGUGGACCAGGUGUGGACCAAAGGCAAUUUAAUUUUAGUUAUAAUUGAGGAAGUCGAAGAAAGCAUUGAAUGGGAGACAUUGCAGAAGAAGGAACAGCAUAAAAUCAAGGAAAAACUUAGAAUAAGAACAAAAGCAGCUGUAAAGAUCCAGGCCUGGUGGCGGGGCACCCUGGUGCGCAGGACACUGCUACAUGCAGCCCUCAGGGCCUGGAUAAUUCAGUGCUGGUGGCGGAUGAUGCUGUCAAAGGUGCUGGAGAAGAAACGGCAGGCAGCUCUGAUCGCCUACGCAACCACAGAGAGGGCAGUGAUCAAGCUCCAGUCUUUGGUCCGUAUGUGGCGCGUCCGCUGGCGAUACUGCCAGGUGCUCAAUGCCAUCUACGUCAUCCAGGGCCACUGGCAAUGCCACAACUGCCAGACCUGCGCUCUCCUCCGGGGCCACUGUGUGGUCACAGCCACUCACUUGCAGUUCCACAUUGAGAUCAUCAACUCCUAAGGGCUGGCAAGAAGGGCACUGUGUCUACUGUCCCUAUUAAAGGUCUAACCUGG
rnacentral:sRNA from 1 species